rnacentral:lncRNA from 1 species
ACAGUUUUUACUUUACAUUGGGUAUACCCGACAAUCAUGAGUUUAGCCGAAAACCGUAUCAAUAUGGGCUUGAUAAUAAUUUUUUACCCAUGAAGCUUAAUGGGUCGGUGAUGGGUAAAACCCGUAGCAUUAUUCACGAGCAAUGGAUAGGGCGUAUCCGCCUCGUAUUCGACCCAUUGCCAAACCUACAGUGGAUAAGCUAAUGUAUAUCAUUACUUAUAAUUUAUUCAAUUCAAAUAUAAUAUCGAUAAAAAUUAUUAAUAGCUAUGCAUAAUAAUUUCCAACCAAUCUAGCUAUAAGGAGGAUCGGUUGACAGCUAGUUUGCUAUCGUCCAUGGCCACCGGGCUUUGAUUGACUCCCGCAAGCUUCACCAGCACAUAGUAGCUCUGCAAAAUUAAGCUCUUAAAAUCAGUUCAAUUCUUUUUAUUUUCAUGUCAGGCUAGAUAUUAUAUCGGUAUUGAAAUUGAGUUCAAUUGAAAAUAAAGAAAUUAUUGACAUAGUAAAUAAAAUGUGAUAAAAGGACAAAGGCAAAUUGCGAUUUAAGCAUAGUAAAAAGUUUAAACAUGGAUAAAAAUAUAACGGAAAUAAGAUCGGGCUAACCAAAUUCUGAUAAUUAAACCACAGUAUAAGAGUUCGUGAAGCAUACUUAGAGGUAGAUAGUCGUUGCGUACUAAAUUGCAAGAAGAGAAUAAUAAAAGCAGAGGACCAAAAGUGACGAAAAUGAGAGUUUAACAGACAGACCUCGUGCCGGUAGCCGAGCCGAAGAUGGAAGUGCCAACAUCAAAAUGACGAGCACAUACAACAACAGUAGCAGUAGAUGAUCAGCUACCUGUUUCUUUAUCUUUAUCUCCAUGGAUCAGAUCUCACGUUUAUUGGAUUUAACAAUACAAUUAGAAUCAAUUGUACAAAGCAAUGUUUAUAUAGGAAAAAAAUGACUCAAU